rnacentral:tRNA from 1 species
GGCUCCGUAGCUCAGCUGGACAGAGCAGUAGUUUCCUAAACUAUUGGUCGGAGGUUCGAAUCCUCUCGGAGUCACCA